rnacentral:lncRNA from 7 species
GCUAAGUGAGACAAGACCUUCAUGCCUUCCUCUCCAGCUUCUCAGUAGAGGCAUGCAGAACAUACCCAAUGUCACAAACAAACCUCGAGUGGGCAAGCAAGAAGCCAGGAAUCAGAUGCUGGCUUGAAUCCAGAGGCUGAUGUGGGCCCAAAACCUGCCUGAAAAAUGGAACAAAGGGAAGACAUUGGCCUAAGAGAACACAAGAGAUGCUGCUAAGGUAAU